CUGGGUAACACUGCUCACAUAGGGAAAAUACCGAAAGACCCAGCUUUUGGGUCUUUGCAGGGAAAAUCCAUCCUUUCAACAUGGGGCCAUAGUCACAGGGCAGGAGGCCGGCAAUCAGUCUUCUCCAAUGCCCAGUGGCGAGGCUGGUUCCGCCACACAUAUCAACCAAGGCAGCCGCCCACGUUAUUAAUCCUGCCCACAUGGUUCCG